GAAGCUCUACAGGGACGUGAUGCUGGAGAUCUACCAGCAUCUGCAGGCUGUCGGGCACUCCGGGAUGAAGCCUGCGGUGAUCUCCUGGCUGGAAGGAGGAGCCCUGAGACAUGGGAGGAGAGGCGUGUGUGCAGAACUCAAACCGCAGA